rnacentral:rRNA from 1 species
UACGAAGGGGGCUAGCGUUGCUCGGAAUUACUGGGCGUAAAGCGCACGUAGGCGGCUUUCUAAGUCGGGGGUGAAAUCCUGGAGCUCAACUCCAGAACUGCCUUUGAUACUGAGGAUCUUGAGUUCGGGAGAGGUGAGUGGAACUGCGAGUGUAGAGGUGAAAUUCGUAGAUAUUCGCAAGAACACCAGUGGCGAAGGCGGACUCACUGGUCCGGAUCGUGACGCUGAGGCGCGAAAGCGUGGGGAGCAAACAGG